AGGACGAGGUGGAGGUGGAGGACGUGGUGGAGGUGGAGGACGAGCUGGAGGACGAGGCGGAGGUGGAGGACGAGGACGAGGUGGAGGUGGACCUUUCCUUGGUGACAUACCCUCUGCUUCUGGCGACGUGGCUUCCCAGUCCGCUCACACACAGUCUACUGAGGUGGAGAUGGAGGUGGAGGGGCAGGACGAGGAGGCGGAGAGGGAGAUGGCGCCGAAGAAGUUGCGCAUUCGUGGUGAAGCGCAAGUCCCUGAUGAGAGGAGGGAGCCUACUA